UACUGUUUGUGUCUAGUUUUGUUGUGAACACUACGUGGCCUGUUAAGGUUGUAUUUCCUUCACACAUGACACAUUUUAUAUUUUCAUUAAUCAGUUGGGGGACAUUUGAGCCCUUUCUACUUUCUGACUACUGUGAAUAAAUUGUUGUAAGCACUCAUCAGCAAAUUUUGUGUUAACAUAGGCUUCCAUUUUUGGUGUAUAUUAGAAAAAUUGAUCUGCUGCGAACUCCCACCAUUGUAUCUAUAACUGUCAGUGGGACUGCCGAGCACUUUCCAGAGUCCACACUGGAAAUCCCACCUGCACUGUCAGAGCAUUCUGGUUUUCCACAUGUUUUUUGAUGCCUGUUGCCUGUUUGAUCUUGUCCAUCACACUGGAAGGGAAGUGUUCCUGGUCUUGACUUCCAUUUCUAUAAUGAUUAGUGAUUAAACACCACUUCAUUUUGACAUCGGCUGUUGUCCAUCUUCUGUGGAGAUAUACAUAUUCUGCAUUUGCUUUUAUUUUUCCUUUUUUCUUUUUUCAUUCUUUUUCCUCCUCCUCCUCCUCCUCCUCCUCCUCNUCUUCUUCUUUUUUGAGACAGCUCUGGAACUCACUCUGUAGAGCAAGCUGGCUUCAAAGUCAGGGUUCUGCCUGCUUUUGUCUCUGUCUCCCCAGUGCUGGGGUCAGAGGUAUGUUUGUUGAAGCAUAGGUUUUAAAUGACUUGUUUUUAUAUUAUUGACUUGCGGUCUAUCAUUGAUUAUGAAUGCUAGUUUCCCAUCAGAAACAUGAGCUGCAAAGUUGCCUCAGUUUUCCAGCCUGUCUUUUAAUCUCAUAUCGAUAUGCUGGGAAGCGCUAACACUUUUGAUUGGGUCCAGCUGCCCAUCGUCGUCUUUGCUUUUCAUGGAAAUGAUUCAUAUCUAAGAAGUCAUUACCGAGUUUGUUAUGUUGUGUACCUAAACGUUUGUUCGUUUUUGUUUUUGUUUUUCUAGAUCUAGCUUUUAAAUUUCAGACAGUGAUCCAUUUUAAGUUAAUCUGGGUAUAUGAGGCAAACUUUAAGAAUAAAGUUUGGCUUCAUUUUGUAGGAUGGCCUCUCUCAAACCCUCCAUAUCCUAGAAAUAGAAUUUAGGGGAGGACCAAGUUUCCUUUAAAAAUGUGAUUAUAUUUAAUUAAACAAAUACUGAAGUUAGAGUGGACAUCUGCCACUGUGCCUCUCUGUCCCCUGUGGAACACCUUCCUUACCAUUUGGUUUAUAAAUUGUCUUUGUCCCAAGAGUGGGAAACUCAGAGAUGGACCCAGACAGAGAAAAGAUAAUUAGGGAUAAUCAUAGUUAGUGUGAAAGAAAACCAAUGUAGAAUAGAAGUUCAGCUGUCAUACACUCUCAGUGCACAUCUGUCUGCUGAUAAAGCCAGCAUGGAAAGACGUGGGCUGAGAGAUGGAGAGAUGUGGAUCUUCCCAGGACACACCGCUUGGGCUUGGGAAAGCACAGUCAGAGGUGCAAGACAUCCGGAGCUGAGUUGGGGGUCUGCCAGCUUGUGAUGUGGACUGGGGUGGGCCGUCUGGUUCUCAGGCUCUUGGACAUCCAGGCACUGCUGGGAGCUUUGGAAGAGCUGAGAACAGAAUCUGGGCCUGCGGGCUGAAUCUAGCUCAGGGCCAGGGGAAAAGUGAGGAACUCUUGACUGGUCCCCCCAUGAUCGUCCUUGGCUUGACAGCAGGCUGCAGGCUUGGCUUAGACUUGGUGGUUGUGGCUGGGAGCGCAGAGUGGCCUUCUACGGGAGACUAGACAGCUGCAAAGGCCAUCUCCGUGGCUCCCCACAGCAGAUCCCGAUGAAAAGAGACAGUUCAUGGUUUUAAGGCAUUUAUUGUCAUAAUGGAAAGUGGAUGUGUAAAACCAUACCCUAUUUCUCAGGGUGGGCCUGAGGUUAAAUACCUUUUACAGCGAGGAAUGUCUGGGAAGGGAAGCUUAUUGGCUAAGCCCUCCAGGCCUCUAGGUACCUCAUCAGUAUGGAGAUCUGUCUUGAGCUUACGUGACCACAGAUCAUGUCCUCUACCUGUGGAUGGCUUGGGACAUUGCCCUUAUGUUACUGAUGGCCACAAAUCUAUGGGUGCUGCAGAUAGUGACAGGGGCCUGGUGCCCUGGAACAGGCAAAGCUCCUACUGUCCCUUUGGGGUCUCUGGGACCCUUAGGUCAAUCAGGGACUGGGCUAUCUCUCUCUCCACUCACCCAGCAGCUCAGGAUACAAAUUAUGUUUUCUGCCUUCAUGGAUUUGACCUUAACUUGACCUUAUUGGGUGGUCAUUUUGUCAAACUCAUCGUUUCAUAGAGAAGAAAAUUGAAGCCAAGAUAAGCUGUAGAAUGUGCCCAAAGUUGUAUAAUAGGUUGGCAACGCUUAUCCUGGUUUCUGUAUUCUUGCUGCGUUAUGCCAUUUCAUGUAGCCAAUUCGUGGCUUCAUGGGUAAAGACAGACAUCCUUAGUGUUAAAAUAAUGUUUUACUGAUGUGAAAAAUGUCAACAGGUGCAAUUUAUAAGAAACUGUGCAUCAGUUCUUUUCAUGCUUUGUAGGAAAUAUGUAUAACAGAAAUGUUUAUAACACAAAUUAGUAUUUUACACAAUAAUGUAUAAACUCACAUUAUUAAAUAAAAAGCUUAUACCUUAUAGA
rnacentral:lncRNA from 1 species